AACGCACAUUGCGCCCGCCAGUAUUCUGGCGGGCAUGCCUGUUCGAGCGUCAUUUCAACCAUCAAGCCCCUGCGCUUGUGUUGGAGCCCUGCGGCUGCCGCAGGCUCCCAAACCCAGUGGCGGGCUCGUCGUCGUACCGAGUGCAGUAAACUUACCACGCUCAGGGCACGCGACGGGUGACCGGCCGUAAAACCCCCCCUUUCUCAAGGUUGACCUCGGAUCAGGUAGGAAUACCCGCUGAACUUAA
rnacentral:misc_RNA from 1 species